GAGGAAUCCUACCCCAUGAGCUGGGGAGGAAAUGAGGCUAGUCUUCUUUUAAGAGUGUGGUGAAUCACCCCCAGCCUCCCUGGGAACCAGCUAUACUCUGCACUUGUUAUCUUCUUUGCAUUCCUGCUGACAUCCUGAAUGAGACGAACAAGGUCCUGGGUCCCUACAUGUCAUACUGGCUAGAGACUGGGAAACAGAUUAACUGAGAGAAGCCAUCAAGCCUGAAGAGACAUCGUGUUUGAAAUGUGUAAGGCACAGUGUACCCGCCGUGGAUCAAAACAACCUGAAGGACAGACAGACAGACACACCGAGGAUCAGCAGAUAUCAGUGGGGACAGGUGCUGAUGAUGGUGCAAAUGAGAGUCAUGAAGGAAAGUUAAAUGAUGACCAAAGACCAAGUACCUUCCCCACAAUGCUUUGACAAGCGCUUUUAUAAGCACCCUGGAAUUUAGACACUACCCGGGGAGAAAAGGAAAGGGAGACAAGCAUGAAUUGUCUGAGAAACCCCUGAAUUAAUCAUGUGUACCCCAAUGCAACAAGGAUCUAGAUAUAGAAUAAUUUUAAUUAUAGAAAACAAAAUUAUAUUUUACCCACCCAUAUUUGAUGCCCAUGAAUUUCACAUCUACCUUACGUGCACAUAAAAUUCAAGCUUAGAUAGACGGAAAACAAAAAAUCAAGAAGCAAUAUUUGCCUUCUAAUAACUUAUCUAUUGGAGGAGGUAAAAGAUAGAAAAGUAGUUCAGAUGACAAAUACUAAAAGAGUUAGGAACUUCUGCUUCCACUUACGAUGAAGGAACUUGUACUCAAUCCAUCCACUUUGUAAUUCUCCUUGAGCUGCUGUAAUAAAGUACCACAAACUGGGUGACUUAAAACAACAGAAUUUAUUGUCUCAUGGUUCUGGAGCCUAGAAGUCUAAAAUCAAGGUAUCAACAGAGCUAUGCUUCC
rnacentral:lncRNA from 10 species